UAUCCUAGUGACAAAAUAACUUCACUAUCAUGGAUGAAAAAAAGCUCACCAGAGGGCCCCAUUCUUGGAUCUAAAAGAAGUAAUUAAUAUUGCAGGAUGCUCAUCAGAUCUGAAAAAAUACUGAGUUAGUGCCAGCUGUACCUAAAAAGAUGCACAAAAGAAGAUAAAUGCAUGUGUCCUGAACAAUUGAUGUGUAAUUUACCAUACAGGCUGGUUGCAUUCGUAGAUGGAAAAUGGAAACACUGAAGUGCAAA